GUUGAAACACCAGUUCUCAUAUGAUCAUUAAAGUUAAGCAAUGUUGAGCCUGGUCACUACCUAGAUGGGUGACUUCUUUGGAAUACCAAGUGCU